rnacentral:rRNA from 1 species
GACAGAGGUCCCGAGCGUUAGGCGGAAUCACUGGGCUUAAAGCGUGUGUAGGCGGAUGCCUAAGUACCUUGUGAAAUCCCACGGCUUAACCGUGGAACUGCUUGGUAUACUGGGUGUCUUGAGCCACCUAGGGGCGAGCGGAACAAGUGGUGGAGCGGUGAAAUGCGUAGAUAUCACUUGGAACGCCAAUGGUGAAAACAGCUCGCUGGGGGUGUGCUGACGCUGAGACACGAAAGCCAGGGGAGCGAACGGG